GAGAGGAGCUUUAUGUGUCGUUGAUGGUUUAAAUUUUCGGAGGAAGGUCGUAGGUUUAUCGGCGGAAAUGAUAUGGUGGUUAGGGGGUGUUUGUUGCGAGGGUGAAGAGAAGAUGAGGAAUUGGGUGUGUCGCGGUGGAUACGGCAUUUUAGAAGGUUGUUGUAGUCGACCAGAGCUUGUUGUUUUGAGGGUUCGUUAGUGGCGGCGAAGAAGUUUGAGGAAGGUUAUGAGGUUGUGGAUUUUCGGUGGAUGCGGCGGAGAGGAGAAGACGACGAGGUG
rnacentral:lncRNA from 1 species